rnacentral:lncRNA from 1 species
CUAGCGUAGAGCAACAUGGGGAUUUGGGUGGCUGUAUAUGUGGGCAUUUUGGAGGAAGGGAAGGCAGGAUUUUGUUGCAUAUCGCACGGGCACAGAUCUGGGCGUCCGUGCAGGGUCGGCAGGCGACAUGAAUCACACGGCGGCGGCGGAGUUGGUCAGCGGCAGCGGAGUUGGGCAGUGACGGCGAAGUUGGGUGGCGGCAGCUGCAGAUUUGGGCCACAACCAUGGAUAGGUUGACGGAGGAGAUAUUGAUUCAGCUUCUAGGAUGAACAGUGGCACAAUAUGGGAAGUUGCUGCUUCUGUCGGACGGGAGUCUUGCGAUGCAAGGGGAGUCGGGCGACGGAAGGGUAGUUGGGCGGCGGCGGCGGCAUGAAUGAGGCACCGCACAAACUCGAGCGAAGGAAG